GAUGAACGCUGGCGGUAUGCUUAACACAUGCAAGUCGAACGGACUCUUCGGAGUUAGUGGCGGACGGGUGAGUAACGCGUGAGAAUCUGGCUUUGGGUUCGGGACAACCACUGGAAACGGUGGCUAAUACCGGAUGUGCCGAGAGGUAAAAGAGAAAUUGCCUGAAGAUGAGCUCGCGUCUGAUUAGCUAGUUGGUGAGGUAAAGGCUCACCAAGGCAGCGAUCAGUAGCUGGUCUGAGAGGAUGACCAGCCACACUGGGACUGAGACACGGCCCAGACUACUACGGGAGGAAGCAGUGGGGAAUUUUCCGCAAUGGGCGAAAGACUGACGGAGCAAUACCGAGUGAGGGAAGCAGGCUCUUGGGUUGUAAACCUCUUUUCUUAGGGAAGAACAAAAUGACGGUACCUAAGGAAUAAGCAUCGGCUAACUACGUG
rnacentral:rRNA from 1 species